rnacentral:rRNA from 1 species
AAGUCGUAACAAGGUUUCCGUAGGUGAACCUGCGGAAGGAUCAUUAUUGAAAUUACCGGUGAGGGUUGUAGCUGGCCUUUCGGGGCACGUGCACGCUCGAGCCUUUAAUCCAACACACACCUGUGAACCCAAUGUAAGGGCCCGUAAAAAAGGCCCCUACGUCUUUAUCACCAACUCUGUAUUCAUAGAAUGUAAUCCAUAUCUUCGCCUUAAACAAGCGUUGGUAAACUUUAUACAACUUUCAACAACGGAUCUCUUGGCUCUCGCAUCGAUGAAGAACGCAGCGAAAUGCGAUAAGUAAUGUGAAUUGCAGAUUUUCAGUGAAUCAUCGAAUCUUUGAACGCACCUUGCGCCCCUUGGUAUUCCGAGGGGCAUGCCUGUUUGAGUGUCAUUAAAUUCUCAACUCUGAUUUGAUUUGUUUCUAAUCAGAGCUUGGACUUGGAGUGUGCUGGCGUCUAGUCGGCUCCUCUCAAAUGCAUCAGCGGAAUUAGAACCUUUGGUUUCCGGACGUCGGUGUAAUAAUAAAGUUGCGCCGUCUUUCGACUUCAAAGUCCGCUUAUAAUGGUCUUCGGACGAACUCUUAUAUCAAAUUUGACCUCAAAUCAGGUAGGACUACCCGCUGAACUUAAGCAUAUCAAUAAGCGGAGGAAAAGAAACUAACAAGGAUUCCCCUAGUAACUGCGAGUGAAGCGGNNAAAGCUCAAAUUUAAAAUCUGGCGGUCUCCGGCCGUCCGAGUUGUAAUCUGGAGAAGCGUUUAUCCGCGCCGGACCGUGUACAANUCUUCUGGAAGGGAGCGUCGUAGAGGGUGAGAAUCCCGUCUUUGACACGGACUACCGAUGCUUUUGUGAUGCGCUCUCGAAGAGUCGAGUUGUUUGGGAAUGCAGCUCAAAAUGGGUGGUAAAUUCCAUCUAAAGCUAAAUAUUGGCGAGAGACCGAUAGCGAACAAGUACCGUGAGGGAAAGAUGAAAAGCACUUUGGAAAGAGAGUUAAACAGUACGUGAAAUUGUUGAAAGGGAAACGUUUGAAGUCAGUCGCGUCGACCGAGACUCAACCCGGCUUUUGCUUGGUGCACUUCUCGGCCGACGGGUCAGCAUCAAUUUUGACCGCCGGAGAAAGGUAGGGGGAACGUGACAUCUCUCGAGAUGUGUUAUAGCCCUCUAUUCGUAUACGGCGAUUGGGAUUGAGGAACUCAGCGUGCCUUUAUGGUCGGGGUAUCAACCCACGUAACACGCUUAGGAUGCUGGCAUAAUGGCUUUAAGCGACC